UACGGAGGGGGCUAGCGUUGUUCGGAAUUACUGGGCGUAAAGCGCGCGUAGGCGGCUUUGUAAGUUAGAGGUGAAAGCCCGGAGCUCAACUCCGGAAUUGCCUUUAAGACUGCAUCGCUAGAAUCAUGGAGAGGUUAGUGGAAUUCCGAGUGUAGAGGUGAAAUUCGUAGAUAUUCGGAAGAACGCCAGUGGCGAAGGCGACUAACUGGACAUGUAUUGACGCUGAGGUGCGAAAGCGUGGGGAGCAAACAGG
rnacentral:rRNA from 1 species